GCCCUAAUAGUAUAUNUGAUUACUUUGGUCUUGUAAACCAAAAAUGAAGACNUCAAAUCUUCUUAGAGCA
rnacentral:tRNA from 1 species